GCGAGCAGGUGUCCACACGCUGGGGAUGAAACCCUCUGCCCGCGGUCCAGAGUACCAAUAUCUCCGCACGGCUCCUCUAUGGAGGCAUCGGGGCCGGCCGAAAGUUCCCGGAGGUUCCACGGUUGCCGCGUGGGCACCGAGCUCCCGAAACGGACCCGGCAGAUGACGGAGCAUGGUGGACGGUGGGGUUAGCUUCACGUUGCUACUGCCUCCUGGGAACCAUGGACCAGGCACCCAGAGAUUGGAAACUGCAGCGGACAGCAGCAACACGUUCAGUGCCAGAGGUGUGACGGAUAAACACCGAGGAGGGAGACCCAUGGAGACAAGAGCUCCUCAUUUGGACUCCCGGUGCAGCAGACAACCUGCACGGCGCCUCCCUCCCCUCCGCUGCACCGCCGAAGCAGAUGGCUGGGGAACAACGCUCCAAAGUGCUGGAAACCAAAUAAUUGGUUGGAGGGAAAUCGAUACGGCGCUGGAAACAAACCCCUCCUCUCCCCUCACAGUCCAUCAGUCUCGCUCUGCAAUUACCCCAUUGAUUGGCCGCUGCUAAUUGCGGGUCUCAUUAUUGGCGGUUUCAGCCAGUCGCUAUUGCAGCAGCUGAAUCCAGAGGUGAACGGUGAGGAGAGCCCUGCAGAACGCAGAGCGGUCCGCUGACGGCCUGAAUGAAAAGACGGAGACAGAGAGCGACCAGCAGCGGAUCGUUUUAAUGAAGGUAGGAGUCAGGAGUGGUGGAGUGAGGACACAAACCCUGGUUCGAUUCCCUCCUGUGCUGACCUCUUUGUCCAGUUUUCCUUAGUGAAGGUUGAACUUCCACAGCAGGUGAAGCCUCAGCGUGUAAUCUGAUCCCCACCGCCCCUCUGAAGGAUCCAGGUUCCACCUUUUCUUUCCACCUUGACUGAAACUCACGUUCUUCUGGAGACCAAGACUCACAAUCAGAUGGAUGGUUGAAAACUCAAGUACUUCAAAAUUGUUUUUUUUUUUAUUUUAGUGCUGAUAAAAAGUAAUGUGCUAACAAAUUGCGCUCAUGUUUCCAGUAGAACGCGUUAUGAUUUUUUUUUUUAGCAAUGCAUCAUUUUGAGAGGUGGACCAUCUGCCAUUUCCGGUGGCUAAUGCUAAUCUGCUACACAGGAGAUAGUGGUGGUGCGGUGCAAAACGACCAACUCCUCCUUAAAAAGUCCAUGGAUGGUUCUCCGCCGAACAGGGAAGUGAUAUGUGAGCGAUUUGUGAAGCAGCAUCGUGCACGAGUGUGCUGUGCUGUGUUGGUGUUGUACUUUUGUUUCAUUUUAAUGAAGUCAUUUCAGUAAAUUUAAUGAUUUGAUUGUUUUUGGUCAUAAUAGGCAGACAGUUCUUCCUUUCAGCAUCUCAACUUUUAAAUGCCGAAUGGUUCAAAUCCCACAUUUGUGAAGCUGCUGACAGUUAAAAUACAUGCGGCUUACAAGUUCACAUAUUACGUGAUUAACUACAGUCAGAUCUGCGAUUAAUUAAAUUCAAACAUUUUAAUUGACUAACAGCACGAAUUUUUUUUAUUCUUUUUUGUAUUGUAUAGGAUUAAUAAGACACACACGCUGACUGUUUUGAUUUAAGUUGAAUUCAUGGACCUGAACUCUUGAUAACUUAGAUUUAGACAGAUUUAGGCCUUCAUUGUCAAUGCAUGUGACCUUGCGGUGAAAUUUAGUCUGGAAAACUUUCCUUUUUAUGGCAACACAUGGUUAAAAGAAGAAACAAAACAGUGGCAAGUGCAUUAAAGUGGUUAAAAAAACAGAAGCAAUAUAAAAAAAUGCAUUGUUGUGAAAUUAGUGAGAUAAGCCCGGUUUGUUUGUAAGUCUCUCAGUAUGCAGAGUAAUAAUUGUGUGUAAUCCAAUAAAAACAUAACA